AGUGGGGUCAAAAGAAUGCAUUUUCUUUUUUUCCUUUUUCUUUUCUUUGCAUAGUUCCUCUGCUUGACAAAUUCCUGCAAAAUUCCAUCACACCUUUGCGUGGACCUAUUUGGGUCUCUAAGAGAGAAGGUUUCAGCCCCUCAGGAGCAAAGAUGUAUAUCCAAGGAGUUCUGUUGGCCUUGCAUCAGCGAUUAAAGCCUGCAAACUGUUGCAAACAGUUAUUGCACAUGAUUUCACCAAAGAUUCAAACCAUCAGGCCUCAGUCUCCCUACAUGGCUUUUUGAUUUAAAAAAAGGACAAGAAAUUAAAAACCCAGUUACUGAAGAAUAGGCAAAAAAGCUUGGAUUUCUUAUGGUAGAGAUUACAGGUGGAAGCUAAGUGUUUGUGACUGUGACUGUCAGCAAUCUCUUCGUUGUCAAACUAACACAAGAGGAAGUUUGAUAACCUCCAGGUAAAAGCGCUUUGAUUUUUAUUUUAAAUUCCAAUGAAAUUUCAGAGGUCUUGUUUG
rnacentral:lncRNA from 1 species